UGUGAGGGGCCGUCCCCGUGCGCCCCAGCCAGGAGUGCAUCAAACCGGCCGGGGGUUCGAGUGCCGCUGCCCCCCCGGAUUCGACACCUACACACCGAGUGCGUGGAUGAGGAUGAGUGCACACAGCGGCUGUGCCAACACAGCUGCUCCAACUCCCCCGGGUCCUUCAGCUGCCGCUGCCAGCCCGGCUUCCGCCUGGCGCCCAACAACCGCUCCUGCCUCGGUACGGGGGGUAUAGGGGGACCCCAUAGGGACACCCCCAUAGGGACACCAAUACUGACCCCAA
ensembl:lncRNA